rnacentral:SRP_RNA from 1 species
GCCGGGCGCGGUGGCGCGCGCCUGUAGUCCCAGCUACUCGGGAGGCUGAGGUGGGAGGAUCGCUUGAGUCCAGGAGUUCUGGGCUGUAGUGCGCUAUGCCGAUCGGGUGUCCGCACUAAGUUCGGCAUCAAUAUGGUGACCUCCCGGGAGCGGGGAGCCACCAGGUUGCCUAAGGAGGGGUGAACCGGCCCAGGUCGGAAACGGAGCAGGUCAAAACUCCCGUGCUGAUCAGUAGUGGGAUCGCGCCUGUGAAUAGCCACUGCACUCCAGCCUGGGCAACAUAGCGAGACCCCGUCUCUU